AGAAUCAACGCUGGCGGCGUGCCUCAGACAUGCAAGUCGAACGCGAAACCCCGAGCAAUCGGGAAAGUAGAGUGGCGCACGGGUGAGUAACACGUAGGUAAUCUACCUUCGGAUGGGGAAUAACAACCGGAAACGGUUGCUAAUACCGCAUAAUGCAGCGGCACCUAAUGGUGACAGUUGUUAAAGCGGGGGAUCGAAAGACCUCGCGUCUGAAGAGGAGCCUGCGGCGGAUUAGCUAGUUGGUAAGGUAAUGGCUUACCAAGGCAAACGAUCCGUAACC
rnacentral:rRNA from 1 species